CUGCCACCUGCCUAGGGAACCCUUUCCCGUGCGAGGUGGACCCCACUGUGUUUGAAGUGCCCGAGGGGUACAGCGUGCUAGGCACGGAGCGCAGCGAGCCCCUCCGAGACGAGGACGAUGACCUCCUGCAGUUCGCCAUCCAGCAGAGCCUGCUUGAAGCGGGCACCGAGGUGGAGCAGGCCACGGUUUAUGAGGAACAGCUUCAGCUGGAGCGGGCCCUCCAGGAAAGCCUGCGGCUGUCCACAGAGCCCAGGGGCCCAGGAUCCCCUCCCAGGACACCCCCAGUCCCCGGCCCACCCAGCUUUGAAGAGCAGCUGCGCCUGGCCCUGGAGUUGUCUUCACGGGAGCAGGAGGAGCGGGAGCGACGCGGGCAGCAGGAGGAGGAGGACUUACAGCGGAUCCUGCAGCUGUCACUCACCGAGCACUGAGCCACAGCCCCGGGAGGGCUGGCCAGGCCACUCCCUGCCCGCUUUUGUAAUUUAUUUAUUUAUAAACUCUCUGCUGCUGAGCUUGGGGCCUGGAGCCCCAGGAAUGGGCAGGCAGGGGAGACUGAGAUGGAAAUAAAGAGACUGCCGCAGCA
rnacentral:sRNA from 1 species